rnacentral:rRNA from 1 species
UACAGGGGGCGCGAGCGUUGCUCGGAAUCACUGGGCGUAAAGCGUACGCAGGCGGAUCGUUAAGUCGGGUGUGAAAGCCCGGGGCUCAACCCCGGAAUUGCAUUCGAUACUGGCGGUCUUGAGUGCGGGAGAGGUGAGUGGAAUUCCUGGUGUAGAGGUGAAAUUCGUAGAUAUCAGGAGGAACACCGGUGGCGAAAGCGGCUCACUGGCCCGACACUGACGCUGAGGCACGAAAGCGUGGGGAGCAAACAGG